rnacentral:rRNA from 1 species
UGUGCCUACGGGAGGCAGCAGUGGGGAAUAUUGCACAAUGGGGGAAACCCUGAUGCAGCGACGCCGCGUGGAGGAAGAAGGUCUUCGGAUUGUAAACUCCUGUCCUUGGGGACGAUAAUGACGGUACCCAAGGAGGAAGCACCGGCUAACUACGUGCCAGCAGCCGCGGUAAAACGUAGGGUGCAAGCGUUGUCCGGAAUUACUGGGUGUAAAGGGAGCGUAGGCGGGAGAGCAAGUCGACUGUGAAAUCUAUGGGCUUAACCCAUAGCUGCGAUCGAAACUGUUCAUCUUGAGUGAAGUAGAGG